rnacentral:rRNA from 1 species
GACGAACGCUGGCGGCGUGCUUAACACAUGCAAGUCGAGCGGUAAGGCCCUUUCGGGGGUACACGAGCGGCGAACGGGUGAGUAACACGUGGGUGACCUGCCCUCAGCUCUGGGAUAAGCCUGGGAAACCGGGUCUAAUACUGGAUAUGACUCCAUGACGCAUGUUGGUGGGGUGGAAAGCCUUGUGCGGCUGAGGAUGGGGCCCGCGGCCUAUCAGCUUGUUGGGUGGGGUGAGGCCUACCAAGGCGACGACGGGUAGCCGGCCUGAGAGGGCGACCGGCCACACUGGGACUGAGACACGGGCCCAGACUCCUACGGGAGGCAGCAGUGGGGAAUCUUGCGCAAUGGGCGAAAGCCUGACGCAGCGACGCCGCGUGAGGGAUGACGG